CCUGGGGGCUGAAGUAACAGCCUCAACAGAAGUCACUACAGGGGGCAGUGGCUCUAUGCUGGGGGCACUUUCUCCUGCCUGGGACAGUGGGCAGGGGUGCGGGAGGAGGAGAAGGGAGAGUCUCAGGAAGGUGGUUCCCAAGUGAAUCUUGAAGGAUGGGUAGACAUGCAUCAUUCCUCAACCUCUCUCGGCUUCAGGCGCCUCAUCGGAACAUUGGGUGUAAUUCAUGGUACUUUCUCCCCAGGCUUCUUGUGAGGACCAAAUGAACGCAUCUAUGGAGAGCUCUUAGCGCAGGGCCUGGCUAACGGAGGUGCAGCUCUGGAACCCUCCAGGAUGCCGCUGGGCCACCGUGGACAGCCCUGUCACCCUGAGAGGUCUCGUCUUCUCUCUCCCUCAUCAUCUAAGAGUUUAUAACAAUGUGCACUGAGCUCCAACUAUAUGGAAGAAAGCUGAGGCUCCAAGGGAUCCAGGACCCAGCGAGGAGGGCGCAGAGUCGGUUCAAGCCCAGGCUCGGAUGCAUCCUUAGUUACACUCUGUCUCUGGGCUCACUCUCUGCUGUUCUCCUCCCAGAUGUGGUCUUGGUGGGAGCUGAGCUGUGGCCCAGGAGCCCCUCCCUGGGCUGUGGGAGGGGAUGUGCAGAAGGAGGAGAGAAUGACACAUAUUUGGAACCCAGGCACGAACCAGGGAGGCUGGAAGUCCUCUCAAGGCUGGCGCGUAGCCUUUCCUGCACCACCACCAUCUCCUCCUCCCCAACAACACCCUCUCAAUCAAGUGCAUUUGCUCCUGUUCUACCACAGGCCUCUGCGCAGGCUGCUUCUCUUCCAGGACAGCUAAAGGGUGGCCCAGUGUUUUGUUGGUUCGAAUCCCGGGCAUGGACAUGGCACUGCUCUUCAAGCC